rnacentral:rRNA from 1 species
CGCAUCUGUGCAUGCAGCAUAUCAAUAAGCGGAGGAAAAGAAACUAACAAGGAUUCCCUCAGUAACGGCGAGUGAAGCGGGAAGAGCUCAAAUUUGAAAUCUUGAAAGGUCUACCUUGCACGAAUUGUAGUUUAAAGAAGUGUUUUCUGUGACGAUCUGGUAAUAUAAGUUCUUUGGAAUAGGACAUCACAGAGGGUGAGAAUCCCGUCUAUGAUUGCGAUUAUGUAGCUUUGUGAUACACUUUCAAAGAGUCGGGUUGUUUGGGAAAUGCAGCCCAAAACGGGAGGUAAAUUUCUUCUAAGGCUAAAUAUUGGCGAGAGACCGAUAGCGAACAAGUACCGUGAGGGAAAGAUGAAAAGAACUUUGAAAAGAGAGUUAAAUAGUACGUGAAAUUGUCAAAAGGGAAGCGUUUAACACCAGUGUUGUUUUCUGAAAAUCAACCUCUGUUAGCUUUAUGCAUGUUUGUUUAGACCUAAUCAGCUAUCUUGCAUGUUCUAUUGUUUGCAGUGGUGCACUUUUCAGUUUACAGGUCAACAUCAGUUUUUUUUACCGUAAAAAAGUUAAAGAAAGGUAGCUCAUGGCUCCGGUCGUGAGUGUUAUAGUCUUUUUCCUAUGCGGUAGGAGAGACUGAGGUCUGCAGUGUAGGCUAUUUGGCUAGAUACUCAGGUGCUAUGUGAUACCAUUUCAUAAACAACUUGUUGAUUAUGUUUUGUCUAUUGCAUACUCGCUUGUACUAUCAUACCUACGCUUAGGAUGUUGACGAUCAGCUGAGCGCG